ensembl:lncRNA
GGAGAUAAUGCCUAGAGAACAGCCAGCAUGUAUGUGUGGAGUUCACCUCCCACCACAGAGGGGACCCACCUUCCCGGGCAGCUGCAUUUCUCUGUUCUCCCCUGGAUGAGCACUGGACUUGGAGGCUGGAGACUUAGGUCAAGGCUUACCAGGCCACAGACAGGUACAUGGAAACUCAGGAAGGGCAGGAGGCUCACUCAAGCUGCUCUAGGCAGAAAGUAAUGCCAUCAUAUUCCACUUCGGUGGCCCUGACACCCUGCUGCCUGCAAAUACAGACAACAAAAGGAAGAGGGAGAUAAAGGAUGAGCAGUUUUGGAGGCCAGAAGACCCAAAUUGAGGUGUUGGCAGGCUGCCUCCUUUGGGGGCUCUCGGAGCAUCUGUUCCUGGCCUCUCCCGGCUUCUGGUGGCUGCUGGUGUGACUUGCCCUGUGGCUGCAUCACUUCAGUCUCUAGUAAUACUGCCAUCUCCUCUGUGCAUCUAAUGUCCCAUGGCCUUGUCCCAGCUGAGGCCGUGCUGAACAGGGCAGCUCCCAGUCUGUCCACCGCUGACUGCAGGUACCUGUGCGGAUGGACCUGGCUGAGAUCGACCAGACUCACCCAGAUCAGCAGAGCCACUCAGCUUACCUGAAUACUCUUGAGCUAAAUUAAUAC